GACGAACGCUGGCGGCGUGGAUUAGGCAUGCAAGUCGAACGGUAUCAUCCUUUCGGGGGUGAGAGAGUGGCGAACUGGUGAGUAACACGUAGGUUAUCUACCCUCAAGACGGGGACAACCCAGGGAAACUUGGGCUAAUACCGGAUGUGAGCAACUUUUAGUUGUUUGAAAGGUGGCGUAAGCUGUCGCUUGGGGAUGAGCCUGCGUCCUAUUAGUUAGUUGGUGAGGUAACGGCUCACCUAGGCAAUGAUAGGUAGGCGGCCUUAACGGGUGGUCGCCCACACUGGGAUUGAGAUACGGCCCAGACUCCUACGGGAGGCAGCAGUCGAGAAUAGUCUACAAUGGUCGGAAGGCUUGAUAGUGCGACGCCGCGUGAACGAUGAAUCCCUUCGGGUGUAAAGUUCUUUUAUAUGUGAGCAGUGCUUCUUAUAUUAACAGUAUGGGGAGAGAGAUAUUAGCAUAUGAAUAAGCAACGGCUAACUCCGUGCCAAGCAGCCGACGGUAAUA
rnacentral:rRNA from 1 species